GCCAGGCGUGGUGGCGGGCGCCUGUAAUCCCAGCUACUCGGGAGGCUGAGGUGGGAGAAUUGCUUGAACCCAGGAGGUAGAGGCUGCAGUGAGCCAAGAUUGCACCACUACACUCCAGCCUGGGUGACAGAGCGAGACUCCGUCUCAA
rnacentral:SRP_RNA from 1 species